AAGACAAAGACAUACCUGCCAGAUUAGUCUCUUGGUCCCACAAAAUUAAUACCAAAUCCGCUAUGAAAUAUACUUUGGUCAAAACUCCCUCCAACGAUGCUUCUGCUCACACAAGGUGACGCUUCUGUUGAAUGCUCCUUCUCUCUAGGAUUCGUGUUUCGAAAUCCCAAAAUGAAGCCACAUACUUCAAAUCCCUCCAG
rnacentral:lncRNA from 1 species